ensembl:lncRNA
UAUUAAUGCAGAUGACAUCCAUUAUUUAUUCUUUCUAGUAUUUUCAGAAUUCAGAUGAUAGUUAUAAACCUAAACUGUCUUUGGUUUCCUAAAUUAUAUUAUGCUUUAUGAUACGGCACUUCAAUAGUCUCAUCUUCUUUGUCAUCUACAGUGUUCUUCAACCCUCAAGAGUAUGUAGCCACAGCAAGAUCAACACAUGAAUAAAACCAUGUCCUUAUGGUUAAAAAUAAUUUUCAACAGCUGGAACAUUCAGUAGGGAGUUAAUAUGGAUUCUAGAAUCAUGUGUCAAUUUUCAGGUAGUUUUCUCUUUUCAACAAAGAAAACCUUAAGAAGCAUGGUCUUUUACAAAGAAUUUAUUUAGUUUUCCAUAACACAAAAUUUGGAGAUGGAGAAGAUACGGGUUCUAUCUCUAAGUUGGGAAGAGCCCUUGGAGUAGGAAAUGGAAACCCACUCCAGUAUCCUUGCCUGGAAAAUUUCAUGGACAGAGGAGCCUGGUGGGCUACAGUCCAUGGGGUCGCAAAGAGUGCAACACGACUGAGAGACUGAGCACACACACACACCCACACACAUACGCAAAAUACAAAGUUUGGGGCUUAAAUUUUUACCUGACAUACAGAAAAAAAUUUAAGAGAAGUGCAAAAUAAAAUAGCAUUCUAGCCUUAACUACAUAGAGGUUGAAGACAGAGGCGAGAAGGAAAGGUAUGUGAAAUGUUCAGAAUUUCUGAUUUAAAUCUUUUAACAACAACAUAUCUGAGAUUUUAGUAAUAAGUGUUGGAGGGUUUGUCUAUUUUUACCACACUGGCUGUACUAAGUAUAUCACGAUACUCUUUUGGUUCAGACUGGGAUGAAGUCUAUAAACUUGAAACAGAAUAGCAUCUGUUGCCUGGUAGAACAGGAAUUAUUCUGGGCCAGAUAUUAGAAGAGAGUUUCAGGGCCAGCUCUGUGAGGUUAAUUACAUCUCUUCCUACAGAGAUGGCCUUGGAGAGUCACUUUUCUUCUAAAAGGUUGUACCUGAAUCCUCUCCCUCCAACCUUCCCUCUCUUUUCUGACCUUUUCUCUAAAUAAAAUAUUUAUUCUAUAUCUACCAUUUCUUACAAUAAGGAACCAAGGUGAAAGAAUUUCUGAGGUCAGGGAGCUUAUAACUUAGCUGGAGAAGCCCGGAUAUUUAACAACUAGUUUCUAAAAUAGUCAUACAAAUUUUAAGUGUGAUAACUGCUUCAGAG